CGUUCGGGUAUUUUGAAUUUAUUAUUUAAUUUACGCUAUAGCGUGUCAGUGGUGUAUCUAGGAUGAUCGUGUUUAGAAUUAAAUCUUAUUGUUUACGGAAGAAUUUGACUAACUUGUUGAAACUUUCUUCUAGACAUGGCAAACAAGUUGAGGCUUCCAACCUAGAAAAUAAAGGUACUGUUGACCUCUGAAGCUCAAACAGAGAUUUUUUGCAGAUCUUGCCAAGAUGUGACUACACCAUGGGGACAAAAGAUGGGCCAUUUUGUCUCAAAAUGCACCUUCCAGUUUAUUGAUUUUACAGUGAGCAUGCGCCAUCUUUGACACACUAGCGAUAAUUUGAUCAGCCCCUCAUCGUCCAGAUAUGAGAAAAUAUGCAUGAGAACUAAACGAGAUACUGUGGGUAAUUAAUGUGAGACUGAAUGUGGAAGUAGUCAGUUCUAGUGAACCCUUGUUCACAUCAAUAAGAGCAAACAGCAUUAGCUGGUUGAAGUGUUUCCUAGUUUUGAAUUAAAUGAGAAUUGAGAGUGAUAUCUUUAUGACACUUAUUGUCAUGUGCGCUUUGAAAGUGACCAAAAUUAAUUGAUAUUCUAAGAUAGAAAGAAUUGAUAUGUUUUUCCUCUGACAUGAACAAAAGUAGAAAAUAUUUGAGAAAAUAGCGAAUGACAACAUUCAGACCACAACAAUGUAUCACGCAACUGGACAAAUAAAAUCAAAUUACACACUUAGUGGAACAUUGUGUGAAAUAGCUACUUGGCAAAAACGUUUGAAUAAAGUCUACCAAAGCUUAAAUGAUUUGAAAUAAAUUGAUUCACCACCUACUUUGAGUGGGCAAACAUUUAA